UGAGGAAAAAAGAGCAAAAAGACGGAUACUGAUGAACAGUUACAGAACGUUGCAAGAUCUUUCUCAAUUUCUACUUAGCAGGACACUUCAAUUGCCAUCGCGACUUCUGAAGGCACCAAAGACAUCAACAAAAGGGCUUCAAUUUCAGCCCAGAUCAAUAUUCACUUGAGCUUAAGACCUCAAAAUCAAUGUGAUCAUGCUGCAUUUUGCUCUUUUUCCUCCACAAUGACAGAAGGGUCUCUGGAUGUGUCUGUGGCACCACAAAUGAAGCGGCAAGCUGAAUUCAACGUCACAGACUUAUGCCAAAAACGUCAGCAGCAUUGGAGCACGUUCUGACUGUGAAAAGAAAUCAACAUGUAGUAAGUUGACGUUAGAACAAAACAGGGCUGACAUCAGAGGAAGACAUACAUUAGGUCUAGAUUGAUCCAAGGGGUACAUUAGACACGGAGGGGGAGUCGCACAUGCGAAUCCCACGCAGCGCGGCGUGAGGCCAGCUCCAGAAUCUAAAAUCAAUAUCUCUUCUCCAGCCACAGCGGGGAGGGAGGGCUCUAUUAAUUUGGGAAUUAUCCUUGCUCAGACGUGACACCACACACCAUCUCCAGACUCAAGACCUUCAGAAAAGUCUGUUGUGGUCCAGCUAUGUAGGUCAAAAGGUACCUGUAUAUUUGCUUGCCUUGGCGUCUGACCAACCACUCGGUGGGAGACUCUGGCCAAGGGAAAUUGAACCAGCAUGAACUCUCCUAUCUCACCCAUUCUGUUUGAGCCCCCGUCACCCGAACUAAAUGUAAUUUGUAUGAUGUGGGGGGGGCGUGGUGGUAGUUCAAGACUGCCCUAACAUCCAGCACUAGUUAGUUGGAUUUAAUUGUUUCACUUUUCAAACAUGUUUUGGGGAAAAAGUAGGAGAUGGUCUAAGCAAUUUAGUGGAUGAAUGAAACAUCAUUUAAAAGAACAAAACAAUAAUAAUAAUAAUUUUUUAAAAAAGUGCAUAAAAUGUCUUCAUUGCAGCAAAACACUUUUUAAACCGGCGGAGCUAGCCAUCUAGCUUGCAUAUUCUUUGUUCAGUGUUUCAGUGCAGCAGCAAAGGGAAAACUUUGAGCAAAAAAUGUUGAUUCAUAUCUUUCCAUACUGUUCAAUGACGGUGCAAUGUUGCCUAAGCCGCUGUGCCGUCGAGCGUGACAGGCCAGGUCGCAGCACUUCACUGCAACAGUGGUACCAUGCUCUCAAUGCAAACUUAGGGUCAAUCUGAAAACUUAGAUCAUAUUCAGCGAAAUUAGGAUGAAAAACAUGGCAUCUUGAGGGCAUUUUGUCCACAGCAUCUAAUUUUCAGUACGGGGCAUUUCCAAAACUCCAGGCACUAAAAGCCUGCAUCAGGCUACUGAGACGCACUGAACAUCCAGGUCCUAGAAGAACCUCAGAACCUUCCAAAUUUGGUUCAACGUGCUAACCCACUGACAUCCACGCCGAAAAGCCUCUUCCCACCUAAACUGAAACCAAAACUAAAAACACAUGGACUACACAAUUAGGGGUUACGUGAGUGGUUAAGGUGGUAACAAAGACUUUUUACACAAGAGCUGUUGGUAAACACAGUUUUGUUUUGUCUUACUGGAGAUUAAGAUCUUAGACUGGUUCUUGUUGUUCAGGGUUUCAUUCUCCAAAAUGAUUCAUGCACUUAAUGUGGAUGAAAAGCAUUUGCUGGCAUUUAAGACGCAGCCACAUUGAUGUAAACUCAUUGGCAUAAAAAGGUUCUUCUUAAAAUGACGGCAAUACACUUGCAGUUCACCACAGUAGUUCAAUGGUGUUCGUGAGAGAAUGUAAUGGUUGGUGGGCCUUGGUUCGCUCACCAACGACGGCAGAGGAAAAGCUUAUUUAUUCUGUUAUUCUUCUUUUAUUCUCCAUUAAAUUAAGAAAUGGCUGAUGCAUUAUCAGGAUGCAUUAUCUGCAUUUGAUAUUAAAAAUUAAAUAAUAAUAAAAAAUUAAAAUUCUUCAAUUGUACAUUUUCAGUGACCAAUCAGUAAGGUAGACAGAGAUUAUUGAGAGAUUAUCACUAGUUAUUAGCCAGUAACCCCAGCAUCACUACUUCACCAGCCUACUGUACAUGCCAGCAGACUUGUGUUACAGGGUGCUAACAGACCAGGCCAACAGAAGCUGGAGCUGGACUGCGUGCUGAUGUUGUAGAGAAGGAUUCUGCCAAAGCUGCAGCUCAACGUGGACAGUGCUACAAAACCACAACACUAUGUCAGGCUACACAACAUUAUCGUGUCCCACUGGCUAUCAACAAAGUAUCUCUGACUCUGACACCUGGCCGUCACAACAAACAUGAGAUAAUCACAUACAGUGGACAGGCACACUUUCUAAUGACGACCCUCCACAGAGUCUGGAGGCGUCGCUGCCAAGAUCACUUGAGGGCGGAUGAGCGCGCUGGCGGGCAGCACCGGUUAGCUCAGCACCUGCUGGGGAAACAAGCUAACGCAAGCCAACCUGUGUCGGAGUUAACACGGAGCAGCGUACCUCAACAUGAACAAGGGCUAAUGAGCACCUUCACAAACGCACCUAAUCUGACACUCGCGACAGAGUGACAGAUCUAUCUAUCUGAGAGAAGCGUCACACUCACCAUCUUGAUGCAGUGCAGCUGAAGCACACACGCCGACAACACUGAGCUCCCCGAGUCCGAAGUCGCGCGACGAGGAGCACAUAAGCGCUUCUGGUUAUAGUAAAACACAAAACAAUGCGUGUUCUCAUUCAAACUGUUGCCAUCUUUGCACAGAGACGGGUCACAUCAUCGCGCACCGUGUUGUCACUCACUAGCAGUAGAGGUCAUGCCAGAAUCCUGGGAAAGUAGCUGCCUAGUAAAGCGCCUGUUCAAAAAACGCGACGUUAUUUGCCUAGAAUUAGACUCCACUAAUAUGUUUGUAUUGAUGAUGCAUUGCAAACGUAUGAAUUAUAUAUUGUUUGACAUCAUUUUCAUAUAUUCCUCAGAUACACAACAUAAACUGUGGAAUUUCUCUCAGGCGCCAUGAAAGCGCAACAAGAGGCUGCGGGACCAGUGAACGGAAGUGGAUCCCAGACAUCGAAAGCUGAGCGAUAACAAACAUGUCAACAGAAGUAGUCUGCGUCACUCUGGGGAAGUUUCGGGGCCUAGAGAGCGUCAUUUGUUUCUUUAUUUGACAUGCUUUUUUGUUCCAAUGAGAUGCACUCACACCAACAAUGUAUGGCUCUGGUGACUUCCAUGGACGCGUAACGGAGCCACAUUGACCGUUGUUGUUUCAGAUGUCAUCGAUGGCUUCCUUCACACUCGCGCUCAUGCGCUUUGACAGAAGUCGCUAGUUUCUGCUGGACGACAUUCUUUAUGGCUGUUAACAUCAUGCUGCUUUGGCCAGGUCUGAGGCUUGUAAACUCGGCCCUGACAAAGUCCAGCAGUUCUCCAGGAAACAGUUACAGUUUUACAUGAACUCCUCUCCAUCACUGAAUGGGAAAUGUCAGCAGUGUUGUAUUCACUAGUCUGAGCUGUGGAAUGAAAGUGAUGCCUGCCAUUUUCAGAGCGUCCUCCCUAUUCGCACCUGUCCUUUUCGUGUCCUCACGUGUCACGUGAUCAGUUGUUGUCCUCUUCACCUUCUUGCUUCCUCUACGUCCGACAUGUUCCCCGUGUCUCCUCUCGGGGUAUCUACACUAACUUGGUCUCCAAAUCAUUCUACACAACAGCGCUCUCUGAGUAUUUCAACAGAAAUGAGAAACUGCUCAGUGCAGGAUUAAUCGGGGAGUACAGCGUCAUGUUCCUCACUGGGGACUUCUGUGCGCACAGCUGCGACCUGAGGCCAUUUCAAGUCAAGUUGGCAGUCGAGCAGUUCAGUCAGUGUGGGGGCACACUUCCCUAGAAGACUUGAACUGCCAGUCCUGACCUGAGCAUGCCUCGCUCUCAGCUCUCCAAGCAUGUGAGACUCCGUGACAGGAAGCUUGUCACACACUCGAUCGAGUUGACACGCAAACUACUGUACGGAGAUUAGUCAGUCCAGUGCAUGACAACUGUCAAAAGACAACUCCGUUUUCAAGGCUUCAUUAUUAACUAUACCUUCUAUAACACGAAGAUCCCCAAUGCGCCCCUGCAAAUAAAAUAAAACAGACAAAUCCAUCUAUGAAAUUAGUAUUUGUAUAAUUUACCAGAACACAAUUUCCCUCCAGCACUUUUUUUUUUUAAACUAAUAACUAUUUGUUAUAAUGUAAGUUAGAAAACGAUGGUGAGAUUGUCAGCAACUCCUAAUUUUAAAAAAAAGUAUGGUAUGGUUUGGCAUCUGAUGCCUUUCAGCAAUGCCAGUAAAAUAAUGGUAACAAACCAAACACAAACGAAAUAAAGAAUAAAAUAAAACACUCCUAUAUCAUGCUGCUCAAAAGUCAAGAUAUGGACCUUGACUUGGUGAGUCCACUGUGGAAAGAAAAAAAAGUGCUGUACUUCUAUACUUCAGUGGUUUAUUGAAUAUACAUAUUUAACAUAGCUGUUUUGUUUGUUGAUUUUUCAUGAUCCCAAAUUCAUUUUGACCGACAAACAGCGUCAAUACUCACUGACAAGUCAAAGUGGAAAGCGGAAGCCUCUGCCAAUGACGAUGCAACCGGCGAAACACAAAACAACAAAAUAAAAUAAAAUGUCUAAAAUGGAUGCCAUUACAGAGACACUUCUCGCUAUCUAGGUUAGUCCACACAUGUCACGCAGAUUGACUUUCCAUCUAUAAUUGAAAGACGCUUCAUACUGUACAUUCUUCCAACUGCGCUUCACAUCACAGCGCUACAGUUCGGAUGAAAUUCUCCACAGAGUUGGUGUGACUUUUUCUAUGCAGUGCUGUCUGUUCUUGUAAGAAGUCAGGCUUGUUAUUUUUAGAUGAAACCUAAUAGCCAGGAUCCUCAGUGUGCUGUUAGAGUUCCAAACCCUUUGCGAAUGUUUCAUCCACAUGACAUCUCCACAGCGCCUCCCAGUUCUUCUCACUAUCGACUCACAUGCCUUACAGUAUCAAUAAAGAUGAUGAGAAUAUUACGGUGCGGAAAUAAAAAAAACUCUCCGCCGAGUCAAUCACAUGGACUCAUGGAUGGAUGUCACAAUUCAUUUUCUGGCUGAGCAUUAUACAUUGUUUCCUUCUUUUAUUAAUCAAAGUGCAGUUGGAAACGUGACUCACGGAUCUCAGCAGCUCACCUCGAAGCCGAGGAGGGAAACGAGAACAAACCAAAGAAGUGUCAACCCUCAGCACCAGGAGAGAAUGUGGCUGUGUUUGCUGCAGCACCUUUGAUAGCGUCAUGCAAAUCUCACAGAA